UACAGAGGGUGCGAGCGUUAAUCGGAAUUACUGGGCGUAAAGCGCACGUAGUCGGCUUUGCAAGUCGGUUGUGAAAUCCCCGGGCUCAACCUGGGAACUGCAUCCGAGACUGCAUUGCUAGAGUAUGGGAGAGGAAAGCGGAAUUUCUGGUGUAGCAGUGAAAUGCGUAGAUAUCAGAAGGAACAUCAGUGGCGAAGGCGGCUUUCUGGACAGGUACUGACGCUGAGACGCGAAAGCGUGGGGAGCAAACAGG
rnacentral:rRNA from 1 species